rnacentral:tRNA from 1 species
GCCCCUGUAGCUCAAUGGACAGAGCAGCUCCGUUCUAAGGAGAAGGUUCCGGGUUCAAAUCCUGGCGGGGGCG